rnacentral:rRNA from 1 species
AUUGAACGCUGGCGGCAGGCCUAACACAUGCAAGUCGAACGAGUGGCGGACGGGUGAGUAAUGUCUGGGAGACUGCCUGAUGGAGGGGGAUAACUACUGGAAACGGUAGCUAAUACCGCCUACACUCGGAUGUGACCAGAUGGGAUUAGCUAGGAGGGGGGGUAAAGGCGCACCUAGGCGACGAUCCCUAGCUGUUCUGAGCGGAUGACCAGCCACACUGGAACUGAGACACGGUCCAGACUCCUACGGGAGGCAGAAGUGGGGAAUAUGGCACAAUGGGCGCAAGCCUGAUGCAGCCAUGCCGCGUGUAUGAAGAAGGCCUUCGGGUUGUAAAGUACUUUCAGCGGGGAGGCGUUACCCGCAGAAGAAGCACCGGCUAACUCCGUGCCAGCAGCCGCGGUAAUUC